rnacentral:rRNA from 1 species
UACGGGGGGAGCAAGCGUUGUUCGGAUUUACUGGCGUAAAGGGCGCGUAGGCGGCCACCGCAAGUCGACUGUGAAAUCUCCGGCUUAACCCGGAAAGGUCAGCCGAUACUGCGGGCUAGAGUGCAGAAGGGCAACUGGAAUUCUCGGUGUAGCGGUGAAAUGCGUAGAUAUCGAGAGGAACACCUGCGGCGAAAGCGGCUUCCUGGUCCGAGCACCGACGUUCAGGCACGAAAGCGUGGGGAGCAAACAGG